UCCUGGCUCAGAUUGAACGCUGGCGGCAUGCCUUACACAUGCAAGUCGAACGGCAGCACGGACUUCGGUCUGGUGGCGAGUGGCGAACGGGUGAGUAAUGUAUCGGAACGUACCUUUCAGUGGGGAUAACGUAGCGAAAGUUACGCUAAUACCGCAUAUUCUGUGAGCAGGAAAGCAGGGGAUCGCAAGACCUUGCGCUGAUUGAGCGGCCGAUAUCAGAUUAGCUAGUUGGUGGGGUAAAGGCCUACCAAGGCUACGAUCUGUAGCGGGUCUGAGAGGAUGAUCCGCCACACUGGAACUGAGACACGGUCCAGACUCCUACGGGAGGCAGCAGUGGGGAAUUUUGGACAAUGGGGGCAACCCUGAUCCAGCCAUGCCGCGUGAGUGAAGAAGGCCUUCGGGUUGUAAAGCUCUUUCGGCCGGGAAGAAAUCGCAUAGGCUAAUACCCUGUGUGGAUGACGGUACCGGAAUAAGAAGCACCGGCUAACUACGUG
rnacentral:rRNA from 1 species